rnacentral:rRNA from 1 species
UACGUAGGGGGCGAGCGUUGUCCGGAUUUAUUGGGCGUAAAGAGCUCGUAGGCGGUUUGGUAAGUCGGGUGUGAAAUCUCCACGCUCAACGUGGAGGGGCCACUCGAUACUGCCAUGACUCGAGUCCGGUAGAGGAGUGUGGAAUUCCCGGUGUAGCGGUGAAAUGCGCAGAUAUCGGGAGGAACACCCGUAGCGAAGGCGGCGCUCUGGGCCGGAACUGACGCUGAGACGCGAAAGCGUGGGGAGCGAACAGG